GUGUUGUAUGAAAGGAGAGAAGGUUAGCAUACCUCUUGACAAGGAUGGAAGAAGCCCUUGGGCCUAAUAACAUGCAUAUGGUUAAGUUUAA
rnacentral:snRNA from 1 species